UGCGUCUGAGUCUCCCUGAAAUUGAAUCCUGAAGAAGAGAAACCGCAGUUCUUAAAUGCGUCUUCGCUCUAAAAUGUGUACAAGUAAGAAGCGAUAAAAAUCUAACGCACGUAUUUGUCGACGAAAAAUUUUCCUCACCCCUCUAACAAGAGCAGUCGCCGGAAAAAUUGCGUCCUCAACAAAAUCGGACAGCACAAUACCACAAACAUAUUUGACUACAUAAACUUAGCUGAAAAAUUCUCAUAUUUGCGGAAAACUUUUCGGAGAUUUUAAAUCCAGUUUGGCACACAAAACUGAAUGAGGAAGAAGAACGGAAUAAUAUCCAGGGUAACUUCUACGGAUCAGAACUUACUGGUGUAGCUCUUUCUUUCCCUGAAAAGACCAAAGCAUUCACAGAAAGAAGAGAUAGUAUGGUGCAGUUAUUUGACGGUUCUCGAUCUGUGGGGAAACGCCAGCCCCUUCUCUCGAAUUCGUACUGGGCUACGUUCGUUUGCGCUCUCAAAUAUGCAGCAAAGGAAUUGUCGACACUAAGAACUUGAUGUGAAGACAUGGUAGAAACCAGUUUUUAUUUUCAUGUCGGCACUCCUGAAUUGGAAUCUUAAUUGGCUAAGAUAUAUUGCAUUAAAACGUGGACCAAUAGACUUAGUAUGGGAAAGCCUUUUUCCACGUGCAGAAGAGAACUCUCGAGAUUCAAGAGUCUCACAAAGACACACAAAGAGCUUUGGAUAACUGCCAUGGAAGAAGUAGAAAAAGAGGAACUCUCUCAGAAAGAAUGUCUCCUACCUUGAGCUGUUAUGGUAAAGGGACAACUUGAAAUUUCAAGAAGGCUGCCAAAGAAACUGAUUGCCGUGAAGCAAAAAGACGGUCGCGACAAGUCCAAGACGCGUCGACUGUUGCUAAAGGACCUGAUUUACGUUAUUUUUUCAAAACGACAAAUCGAACCAUGUGUGUUGAAAACACGAUUGAAGUUUACCAAAAGAAGCCGUGAACAGGAAAUUCUCGGUCAACUGCAAACACAGUUUACAGAGUCGAGGUGUAAAGACCACGCGGUCUUUUGUUGCGUACCUUUUGUCCGAAAACACUAAAACAAUAGCGCGCCGCCAACUAGAGGUACACGCUCCUUUCACGUUUUCGAUUACUCUUUAAUUUUGUUAUGAAAACAAAAUGCACGCGUCUUGUCGCGAACAAAUAUCUCAUUCACGCGGACAAAGCAGAAUUUACACUUUUCAAAGAUUAUUAUUUUGCACAAUUAGCGAGCUAAUUUCGCUGCAAUCGCAUGAGGAAGUCAGUGGUGAAUUAUUCCCUAAUCAUGUCUGUAAAAUUUGCGCUGAUUUUCUUAGCAGAAGACAUUCUUAGUGAAAAAGUGAUCAAGAUUGCUGUCAACUUUGUAGGUAGUCCUAUAAAUGAGAACUUUGCAGCUGAUGUCAACAGAGAUCAAUUCGUUGUUCCUUUGAUAAAACGCUCUGAACUGCAAAGAUAAACUUCCCGAUUUACUUUACAGGCCCAGCCUUAAAUGGCUUCCUACAAGCGUAUUACGUUUCGUUAAUAAAUGUGUCAGUAAAGGCAUUGUUAUUCUCUUCCCCUGCAAAAUCCUAAGUGAGCAAGUGUGGAAAUAAGUACACACUGUAAUUCCUUGCUAUGAAAACAAACAAACAAAAAGAAGAAGCGAUCUUGUGUUGACCAAGAAUGACUUUCGGACCGGCCAAUGAAAUUCCCUUCUCUUAGCCAUACAGAUCUCGACGUUUGCACAAGCAGUGAGUAUCAAAAGGAGUUUGAAAUGUAGCCGACCAGUAACUUGGAAAGUACCAUAGUAAUUAGCCACCUCAUUUGCCCACACCGAUGACAACAAAAACACAAUUGUGAACGACGAAAGAACAGAAAAAAUUUCGUUCAAUAAAGGCUGUUUGCAAAACUGAGCAAUCAAUUCAUCGUUUUAGGACGACACCAAAAAGUACUUUGUCUCUUGGCAUGGAAACAGAAAACUAACCACUGAUGAACGUGUUAUUGAAGAAUAUAGUGUAAAAGAACACGAAA